rnacentral:tRNA from 2 species
AGUAAAAUGCCUGACUAAAGGAUUAUCUUGAUAGGAUAAAUAACGUAAAUUAUAUAUUACUUUUACUA